rnacentral:rRNA from 1 species
UACGUAGGGGGCAAGCGUUGUCCGGAUUUAUUGGGCGUAAAGAGCGUGUAGGCGGUCUGGUAGGUCCGUUGUGAAAACUCGAGCUCAACCUCGAGACGCCGAUGGAAACCCUCAGACUAGAGUCCGGAAGAGGGAGAUGGAGUACUCGUGGUGUAGCGGUGAAAUGCGCAGAUAUCAGGAAGAACACCCGUGGCUAAGGCGGCUCUCUAGUACGGUACUGACGCUGAGACGCGAAAGCGUGGGGAGCGAACAGG